AGCUCCCAUCCAGGAAGGCGCAGGCGCGUAAAUACCCAUGCCGAUUCGGCGAGGUAGUGACGAGAAAUAACGAUAAGGAGCACCUUGUGUUUUUUAAUCGGAAUGAGUGCAAUCUAAAAACCUCAACGAGGAUCAAUUGGAGGGCAAGCCUGGUGCCAGCAGCCGCGGUAAUUCCAGCUCCAGAAGCGUAUACUAACGUUGUUGCAGUUAAAAAGCUCGUAGUUGAAUUUCUGGUAAGAGCGACCAGGGCUAUCGGUUAAUCUGAUUGUUUCCCAUGUGUUGUUUUGGCCAUCCUGAUCUUCCCUUUUGGGUAGGUCUCAUUUACUGUAAAAAAAUUAGAGUGUUUCAAGCAAAAUGUUAUUUUGGAAUAUAAUAGUAUGGAAUAAUAAGAUAGGACUUUUGUACUAUUUUGUUGGUUUGUAUACAAAAGUAAUGAUUAAUAGGGACAAUUGGGGGUAUUAAGUAUUU
rnacentral:rRNA from 1 species